CAAGUCGGAUGCGAACAGCGCUUUCGGGCGUUGAGUAGCAUGGCAGACGGGUGAGGAGCGCGUAUCUGACUGGACUCAGGCUGGGGGAUAGUCCCUCGAAAGGGGGUUGAAUACCGCAUGUGCUCGGUGCUGUGAGGGCAUCGAGGAAAGUUGGCCUCUGCGGGCACGCUGAUGGCCUGAGACAGGGAUGCGUCCUAUUAGCUAGCUGGUGGGGUAAGGGCCUACCAGGGCGACGAUGGGUAGCUGGUCUGAGAGGAUGAUCAGCCACACUGGGACUGCGACACGGCCCAGACUCCUACGGGAGGCAGCAGUGGGGAAUUUUGCGCAAUGGGCGCAAGCCUGACGCAGCAACGCCGCGUGCAUGACGACGCCUUUCGAGGUGUAAAGUGCUGUCGACCGGGACGAAGGGGCGAGGGUGAACAGCUUUCGCGCAUGACGGUACCGGUGGAGGAAGCCCCGGCUAACUCCGUGCCAGCAGCCGCGGUAAGACGGAGGGGGCGAGCGUCGUGCGGAAUGACUGGGCGUAAAGCGCGCGUAGGCGGUGCAGCAAGUGGUGCGUGAAAGCCCUCGGCUUAACCGGGGACGGGCGCGCCAAACUGUUGGACUGGAGUGCCGGAGGGGGAGGCGGAAUUCCUGGUGGAGCGGUGAAAUGCGUCGAGAUCAGGAAGAACGUCGGUGGCGAAGGCGGCCUCCUGGACGGACACUGACGCUGAGGUGCGACAGCGUGGGGAGCGA
rnacentral:rRNA from 1 species